rnacentral:rRNA from 1 species
GUACACUCCUGCGGGAGGCAGCAGUGGGGAAUAUUGGACAAUGGGCGCAAGCCUGAUCCAGCCAUGCCGCGUGAGUGAUGAAGGCCCUAGGGUUGUAACGCUCUUUCACCGGUGAAGAUAAUGACGGUAACCGGAGAAGAAGCCCCGGCUAACUUCGUGCCAGCAGCCGCGGUAAUACGAAGGGGGCUAGCGUUGUUCGGAUUUACUGGGCGUAAAGCGCACGUAGGCGGACUAUUAAGUCAGGGGUGAAAUCCCGGGGCUCAACCCCGGAACUGCCUUUGAUACUGGUAGUCUUGAGUUCGAGAGAGGUGAGUGGAAUUCCGAGUGUAGAGGUGAAAUUCGUAGAUAUUCGGAGGAACACCAGUGGCGAAGGCGGCUCACUGGCUCGAUACUGACGCUGAGGUGCGAAAGCGUGGGGAGCAAACAGGAUUAGAUACCCCAGUAGUCCCA